rnacentral:misc_RNA from 1 species
GAAAUGCGAUAAGUAAUGUGAAUUGCAGAAUUAAGUGAAUCAUCGAAUCUUUGAAUGCACCUUGCGCUCCUUGGUAUUCCUUGGAGCAUGCCUGUUUGAGUAUCAUGAAAUCUUCAAAGUAAAUCUUUUGUUAACUCAAUUGGUUUCUACUUUGGUAUUGGAGGUCUUUGCAGCUUCACACCUGCUCCUCUUUGUUCAUAGCUGGAUCUCAGUGUUAUGCUUGGUUCCACUCGGCGUGAUAAGUUAUCUAUCGCUGAGGACACUGUAAAAGGUGGCCAAGGUAAAUGCAGAUGAACCGCUUCUAAUAGUCCAUUGACUUGGACAAUACUUUUAUGAUCUGAUCUCAAAUCAGGUAGGACUACCCGCUGAACUUAAGC